AUUGAACGCUGGCGGCAUGCCUUACACAUGCAAGUCGAACGGUAACGCGGGGCAACCUGGCGACGAGUGGCGAACGGGUGAGUAACGCAUCGGAACGUGCCCAGUAGUGGGGGAUAGCCCGGCGAAAGCCGGAUUAAUACCGCAUACGACCUACGGGUGAAAGAGGGGGAUCGCAAGACCUCUCGCUAUUGGAGCGGCCGAUGUCAGAUUAGGUAGUUGGUGGGGUAAAGGCCUACCAAGCCUACGAUCUGUAGCUGGUCUGAGAGGACGACCAGCCACACUGGGACUGAGACACGGCCCAGACUCCUACGGGAGGCAGCAGUGGGGAAUGUUGGACAAUGGGCGCAAGCCUGAUCCAGCCAUGCCACGUGCGGGAAGAAGGCCUUCGGGUUGUAAACCGCUUUUGUCAGGGAAGAAACGCUCUGGACUAAUACUCUGGGGUAAUGACGGUACCUGAAGAAUAAGCACCGGCUAACUACGUGCCAGCCGCCGCCGCGG
rnacentral:rRNA from 1 species